rnacentral:rRNA from 1 species
UUGAUCCUGGCUCAGGACGAACGCUGGCGGCGUGCCUAAUACAUGCAAGUCGAGCGAGCCGAACUAAUUGAUUACCUUCGGGUAUGAAGUUAGGGAAGCGAGCGGCGGAUGGGUGAGUAACACGUGGGUAACCUACCCUAUAGUCUGGGAUACCACUUGGAAACAGGUGCUAAUACCGGAUAAAAGGAGAGAUCACAUGAUUUCUUUUUGAAAGGCGGCGUAAGCUGUCGCUAAAGGAUGGACCCGCGGUGCAUUAGCUAGUUGGUAAGGUAACGGCUUACCAAGGCAACGAUGCAUAGCCGAGUUGAGAGACUGAUCGGCCACAUUGGGACUGAGACAUGGCCAAACUUCUCUUACGGAGAGGGCCAGGCAGUAGAUUCUUCACACAAUGGAUCGCCAAGUUCUGAUGGAGGCACGCCGCGUGGGGUGAAGAAGUUUUCGGAUCGUAAAGCUCUGUUGUUGGUGAAGAAAAGAUAGUGAGAGUAACUGCUCAUUAUUUGCCGGUAAUCAACCAGAAAGUCACGGCUAACUACGUGCCAGCAGCCGCGGUAAUACGUAGGUGGCAAGCGUUGUCCCGGAUUUAUUGGGCGUAAAGCGAGCGCAGGCGGAAAGAUAAGUCAGAUGUGAAAGCCCUCGGCUUAACCGAGGAAUAGCAUCGGAAACUGUCUUUCUUGAGUGCAGAAGAGGAGAGUGGAACUCCAUGUGUAGCGGUGGAAUGCGUAGAUAUAUGGAAGAACACCAGUGGCGAAGGCGGCUCUCUGGUCUGUAACUGACGCUGAGGCUCGAAAGCAUGGGUAGCGAACAGGAUUAGAUACCCUGGUAGUCCAUGCUGUAAACGAUGAGUGCUAAGUGUUGGGAGGUUUCCGCCUCUCAGUGCUGCAGCUAACGCAUUAAGCACUCCGCCUGGGGAGUACGACCGCAAGGUCAAAACUCAAAGGAAUUGACGGGGGCCCGCACAAGCGGUGGAGCAUGUGGUUUAAUUCGAAGCAACGCGAAGAACCUUACCAGGUCUUGACAUCUAGUGCCAACCUAAGAGAUUAGGCGUUCCCUUCGGGGACCUAAGAACAGGUGGUGCAUGGCUGUCGUCAGCUCGUGUCGUGAGAGUUGGGUUAAGUCCCGAACGAGCCAACCCUUAUUAUUAGUUGCCAGCAUUAAGUGGGCACUCUAAUGAGACUGCCGGUGACAAACCGGAGGAAGUGGGAGUGACGUCAAGUCAUCAUGCCCCUUAUGACCUGGGCCACACACGUGCUACAAUGGGCAGUACAACGAGGAGCGAACUUGUGAAGGCAAGCGAAUCUCUGAAAGCUGUUCUCAGUUCGGACUGUAGGCUGCAACUCGCCUACACGAAGCUGGAAUCGCUAGUAAUCGCGGAUCAGCACGCCGCGGUGAAUACG